UGUCCGAGCCGUGGCUGAUAGGAGCUGCAGUACAGGCAUUAACAAGUACAGUCGAUCCCUUGAGCCACCGCCUUACGUGUUAAUUUAGCUUGGACGCGUAGUACAAGGAAAGUUACUAAGGAAUUCGAGCGACUAUGGAAAUAACUGUCAGAGACCGGUAUUCUCCUCUGGCAGUUAUCGUUAUUGGCUCGUAGUUCUAGUUCUCUGGCAGUUAUCGGGCUACCACCACAGGUAACCUGGAAGCUGGUAACGGAAUAACUGUGUGUGUAGACGUUCCUGACUCGGUGACUCCAGUUAAAGGUCGUAGUUCCAGGUGAUAUUUCCAGAGAGGAUAGUAACUGGAGCGAACAAAUAUUUUCGUACUGCUACGGAAACGAUGGAGGGCCAUCGGGGAGAGGGGUAUUUUUCCGGCCUUUGGUUGCGUUACAGGGCAUUGACUUUCGUUCCGCGUUCUUGUUUUUCUUUGUGUUGUUGAUAUUACUACCAAUAGUUACCAACAUGAAGAGGUCGAGGACAAGCGAAAUGUGGUCAUAUUUCGAAACUCUUGAUCGAGAGUUUGCGAAAUGUACUUUGUGCGGUAAGAAAUUAUCGUACAAAUCGACGACGACGAAUUUAAAAAAACAUCUUCAGAAAUCACAUUUAAUUGUGAAUUUCUCUUCACAAAGACCUUCGGAGCUAGAUUUGGGUGAAACCCUUCCUGUAGAGGUGAUCCUUGGCACCAGUAGUGUGGAAGAGGAGCGAGAGGCACACCAACACCAGCAGAUGAGUCUCCGUUUAAUACUUGGGAUAUUAUAACAGUAAGUUAUAGCUCCGGAAGUCAGUCACCAGCAGCAGAUGUCACACAGUUAUAAAAUGGGAAACUUGAAGAAUAAGCUCCAGAAGUCAGCAGCAGCAGCAGCCGCCGUCACACAGCCAUAAUGCGAGAAGCUUGAAGAAUAAUUUAUGGCUCCGAUAGUCUUCCAGCAGCAGCAAAUGUUACACAGUCCUAUAGAGGCAAACUUGAAGUAUAAAGUAAUAGUGUUUUGCAUACAAUGGCAAACUUGACCUUUCGCUUAAAAUGGAGGUACAUUUGCACUGAGUUUAAUGUUAUGACACGUGAAUGGAUUACCAGUGAUGUAUAUGUAAAUACUGGAAUUUGUAACUUAGAACUUAAUUUCAGUAUCGGCUUUGAAAUUUGGUCACUGGAUACAACUAUAUUAUCUUUCAUGUUGAUAGCAGCAAUCAUCAGAUUGCAAUCCAGUUAAGUACCUGUGAGGCAUGAGAUGUCAAAAAUACUUGUGGGUUAUUGGUAGCCUGUGUCAAGGCAUGUGGCACCUCAAAGUUUGUAAGUACAGUAGCAUUUUGUUUUCUGCUUUACUUAAAAAUUGGUAGCUGUAGCACCCAUUCUGACAUUCAAUUAUUUUGAAUUUCAAGUUUCUUAGAAUGAUACUGACAUCAGUUUGUUAACACCAGUCCGUAUAUUAUUGUUAAUAUAUGCUGCUAUUUUCCUCAGAUGUUAACUGAAAUUGUUUUAUUGUUAUGAUAACAACACUUCAGCCUUUGCAAACUUGCAGUAUAGGUUACCUGCUGAGAAAUAUUUACUGGAAGAAAUGGUUUCUUGAAUAGGACCGAAAGGAAAACCACUGAAAAUGUCAAACGUGAAUUGGUGAAACAUCUUGUGCUCAAUACUAAAUUUCAUUUGCAAAACACGGAAGUUUUCCUAUCUUUGUGGUGGAACACAACAAAUUCUCAUAAGUUUGCUAGUUUGUAUUCUAGAAAGGGUGCCAGAAAUGGAAGAGUAUAAUUUUUAUUAAAUCGGGCAUUAAAUGUAAGUAGGUUGGAGUACAGAAAGGGUGCAACUGGCCUUCCCCACUGUAGCCUGAUGUGCUCCAACAUGCAUUUGUACUGAUGUGCAGGUGGUUAUAACACUAGUAUCAAACUGCAUGGUACCCGCUUACUAAUGUGACCUACCCUUGCAUGAUCUUCUGCAGACAGCAAGAAAUCCGCUACUGCUCUUACUACCUGUCCAACAGUUGUGGAGGAUUUUUUCCCCUUGGUGCUUGACAUGACAUGUUUUGCCCUCUGCCCUUAAAAUCUCAAUUCUUGUUACAUUUUUCAUCCAUUUUCUAUCUCCUGAUGGACCUGUAUUGAUUAAAAAACUAAUCACUGCAGAGGUGAUUGUAGAACUUUUGCUAGUGGCAGUGUGGAGGGGCUCCACUCUUUAAAAAAUAAAAUUACAUUGUGGGACAUGGAAUUAUUAUUAUAUGCUUUCAUGGACAUUUUGUUUACUGAAAAAGUCAGUCAUUGUCUGAGGUAUUUAAAUGUUAACUUCAAAUCUAAAACUGCAUCAAAAGAUAAAUUUCAGUAAGUCUUUAACAAGUUUCAGUAUCUUGCUUCACAUGCUGGACCCUCCAACUAUAAAAAACAGUGUUUUGCAGAGAACAGCUAUUCAGAUGUUAACAUCCCAGAAUUUGUGUAGAAGAUAUCCCUUACAUUUUUAGUUUCAUUGUGGUCACACUCUACAGUGUAGUGUUAUCAGCAUACAUAUAGAAGUUUGAAGAACAUAUUAAACUAAUUGCUAGACAUGCCUUAAGUGAAUAUGUUUACUACUAAUAUGAGUCAGCUAAGUAGUUGCUGCAAGUUUUUAUGUUGUUUAUAAAGUGUCUUUAGACAAGGAUAUUUCUGCUGUUUGUUUCCUGUUCUUCU